AUUGAACGCUGGCGGCAGGCCUAACACAUGCAAGUCGACCGAGUGGCGGACGGGUGCGUAAUGUCUGGGAAACUGCCUGAUGGAGGGGGAUAACUAAUGGAAACGGUAGCUCAUAGCGCAUACAAUCAGAUGUGCACAGAUGGGAUUAGCUAGUUGGUGGGGUAACGGCUCACCAAGGCGACGAUCCCUAUCUGGUAUGAGAGGAUGACCAGACACACUGGAACUGAGACACGUGCCAGACUACUACGGGAGGCAGCAGUGGGGAAUAUUGCACAGUGGGCGCAAGCCUGAUGCAGCCAUGCCGCGUGUAUGAAGAAGGCCUUCGGGUUGUAAAGUACUUGCAGCGGGGAGGCGUUACCCGCAGAAGAAGCACCGGCUAACUCCGUGCCAGCAGCCGCGGUAAUGC
rnacentral:rRNA from 1 species